AAAUCUUUGAUUCCCUUACCCAAGUAUUUAAAACAAUUACUAUUAUCCAUUGCAUGCUUUAAGUUUAUACCAUCACUCUGAACUCAACCCUAAUCCAUAACAAAAUUCCUUUUCGCUCUUCACAACUUUAUCUCCAAUAACAAAACCGAAACUCGAAUCCACCCAUUUAAACGUUAACUCCCGCAAAAUUUGACUAUUCAUUGUGACUUUACCACUCAAUUGUAAAAACCAACCAAAAGGAGUCUUCGAAAUAAGUGACCGUUGAUCGUCUGUCAAGUGUUCGUUCAACGUGCACACAUACAUGGUUGAAAAAUAGUGGCGCACCGUCAACUGCUUAACCAAAACAAAUCAAAUGUAAUACCAGAACCAUAUUACAAACAUAACUAAAUGGGGUCGAAAAACCCACAAAGAAACAUAAAACAAACAACACAACACCCCUAAACAAUUACACAAAACACAAAAACACACUACCAUUAACACAACAUCAACAACGACGAACACAAAUCAAAAACCCAAAACAAAUAAACACUAAACCCUCACCACAACAUCCACAACGGAAAACCACAAAUCAAAAACCCAAAACCUAACAACGCAAACCAAAAACCCAAAACCUAACAACGCAAACCAAAAACCCAAAAACCCAAAACAAAUACCCAAAACUUGAACAAAACAAAAACAAAACUAUCCUAACAAAAAACCCAAAACCCAACAAUGCAUUUACCUUUCUACAACGAAGCUGCCGUUCCGGACUUUCCAUUUCCACCAACCGCCGACAACGGACAACGAAAAAUCAAAUGUCACUCAAGGGGGUAACCACAAUGCAGAGAACAAUGAAAUGAGACAGAGGACGAAACGAGAGAGAUUGUGAAAUGAAAGACAAAACAGAAUUUAACAGGGAAAGGGUAUAUUUGGAAUGCCAAAUUUUCUAAACGCUACUCAUUUUCAUUCUCAGAUUUAAAAAAAAAAGAAAAAACAACCAAUGUCAGCUUGACACGUGUGUGUAAAAAAUAUGUUAAAAAAGUUGUGUUAAAAUAACGGGAUCCUAUAUUUUUAGAUUAAUU
rnacentral:lncRNA from 1 species